AUGAACGAAGGAGACAGGAAAAUAAUGUUCAUGCACUAGGAAGCAGAAAGGUGUUGGCCUGGUGUUCUAGGCAAGAGGAGAUGGGUGGUUUCUAGGGUUCAGGUAGAGCACUGAAGUCCAUGCACUUACUGACAACCAGGGAGAGUUUGUCCACAGACAAAACAGAAAGAUGAAUUACAGACACUUGCAAUUUUUUGUGUGGAUGGAGUGGUGGGAAUAUCUGACCAUUCUUUGCCGAUCACUUGCAUUUUCUCAGUGCCUUAGAAAGCCAGGUUAUCAUCUGAGCAAAAGGAUGGGGAGAGAAUGCUGGGGAUGUGAGGAAAGAGGAUGUUGUGAAUGCCCUGUGGCUGGUGGUCCACUGGAGCAAAGUGCUCUCAGCCCUUUAGCUAACAUGGUUGUUUAUGUUUUUAAGCAUCUUUAGAUGGGCAGGUACUAAGUAGGCAUCAAAGUGGAAUUUACCAAUGUUGGAGUUUUUGCAGGCAUGAAAAGUCUUGAGAAAGAAAGAAUGUGAGUGAGUAAAAGGAAGUGGUUGAAACAAUGAACAGUGGGAUUUAAGUUUGGGAGGGUGAGAGGUGAAGACAUUUUUGAUCAGGAUAGCGCCAGGGCCAGAGAUAGGUGUCCAGAAAACUGCUAUACCCACUGUGGUUAAAGUGGACUAGAUAUUAUAACGAGAUAGUUGUCCUUAUUACAACUGCCAGUGAGACCUCCUAAAAAUUUUGGAAUAAAGAAUGUCAUAGCAAGACAGUGGGAGGAAAACCAAGAAAAACACUGUGUAAGGAAGGAGUCCAAGAAGAAAAUGGCCAUCCUUAGAUUCUCAGAAAUGCCUACAAACAAUAAGGGAUGGAAUACCUUAUACUGACCAUAUCAGAAAACUGAAACACAAAGAAAUAAAUCAUUCAUCCAAAAUGCAUGACUGGUUACAACCCUGUAGAGCUGAAACCAGAGUUCAGUCUUCCUGACUCUUACUGCCGCAGAACAGACAAAACAACCAAGGCCUAAUUGAAUCAUGUUGUUUCUGUUCUUGCGUUUAUCCUCACUGUUAUUGUUGUUAUAAUUAAUUGCAUUCUAAUAAACCCUAACUUAAAUAGAACAGGAAAUCAUUCUUGAUUCUUUUUCAGCUCAAUCUAUAUUUAACAUAAAUUCAACAGAAAACAAGAAGACACAAUCAAAAGAAAAUAGGAGGGUAUAAUCAGAGGGAAAUGUUUGCACACUGUAUUUUAUGAUUGGGUUUAGAAAACCAUGUUAUUUCUCAAAACAGUGAGUUCAGAGUGUCCAUCAGUGCUGCCCACAGGAUUAGUCGGGGGGUGCGGAGCAGGCAUCCUCUGUGCCCUCCCUGCAUGGCCAUUGUGACUGCCUGUGCUGAGCACCCCCACAGUGUACAGCAGCACAGCCUCUCCUUAUAAUAAGUAAACUCAGAAAACACAAAGUAAGAAUCAACCACCCCACCCCUGCACAUGCAACCUGAUUUGAGCAGAACAGCAUAUGUCAGGCAACUGCCCUCAGUUUGUGGGACAGCAGGCUUGAAGAUGGAGGCCCUCAAAGCCAUCAUCCAUCCAUCCUGCUGCCACCCACCCUGUGCACACUGCAGACUUUGAUCCACGUUAGCCAGUAACUGUGGAGAAAUAUACCCAGCCCCACGGAUGCUUCAGGUGGCAGGGUCAUGUUUAGCUGGGGUUCAAGUUAGGGUUAAGAUUAGGGUUAGGAUUAAUUUCCUUUGCAUAGUUUUCUUUGCACAGCGGACACGGUGCUUAUCAUCUGCCAGGCAUCACUUUUGGAGCCAGUUCAUCAGGUACCCAGAAAGUGUAGCUAUCUCAGGAAAGCAGCUUGUCCUAAAAUGAUUUAUUCUCUGCUAGGGGAGGGUGUAAUUGGCAUUUUUAGAGAAAUAAAGUAGUGAGGGUGAUAAUGAAGCUAAACAAUUCCAAGUAAUUGUUACCCUAAUUGCCUAAGUACAUAGCACAGCUUAAUCAUUUAAAUUGCUGAAAACUUUGGUGCUGCAAACUUUCUAGCCAUUGCAAAUGCAUCGUAUGCAUGCAUGCUUGUAGGUAGCACUGCAUAUAUGUGUCAGUGUAAAUGAGUAUAUUUCUUAUCUUCCAGCAGGAUGGUUUUAAAGUGCCUUCAGUAUGCCUAUCUCCAUUCUUGCAGAGGUAGGCAAUGAAGCUUAUCUCUUCUUUAAUUGAUCAUUCACUCAGUGAUUCUGCAUAUACUUCAAUCUGUAGAGCUCUGUACUAAGUAUAUUGGAUAUGUAGCCAAGAUUAUGGCUCAAUUCUUGCUUUAAAUUUUCUUAAAUACCUAUGUGCCAAUUUAGACAACAGACAGCUACAAUAUAAAGUGCCAAAUGCUACAAUCAAGGCACUAUAAUAACAUAGAGGGAAAUUGCCAAACCAACCCAGCCUGGAAGGAAGAUUUCCUCUCACAGCAAGCUGAGUCCUGAAGGAUAACAGACUGUCCCUAAUAGGAAAUAAUGUUCCUUUGUACCUGAGAUUCAGUGGUCUUUUAAUUCCGAGUCACCAUCUAGCACUGCUUUAUUUUCUGGGAUUAUGUAAGAAAGUGAGGAAAAGGGGGAAACAAUUUAUUUGCAGUAUCAAAAGUUGACAUUAAUCCAAGCUAUCGAGGAACAUCAUGAGUGUUCCAGUGCCAUUGGACCAGUGAUCAGAUUUUGAGUAGGUAGUCAGUUUCCCAUCUGGCUGAGUCACCCACACUGCCUGGGAGCCCUCUGAUGAUGUUGGCUCCUGGCUGCCUGACAUCUGGUGGCUCCCUGGCUCACUCUGACAAGCUGUAAUGAGACUUCAGUGAAUGUUUUAGGGAAGCUACUAAAUGCCCCUUCAUCUUAACAUAAAAGAAAAACCACAGCUAUUUAUUCAUACAUUUAUUUCAAUGCCUGUUUAUUAAACUUUAAUUGUAUAUCCAAGACUCAGUACAGUCUCUUAAUGUUCUCUCAUGUAAAUUUUAGAAAUAGAAGUUAGUUACUCAAAAAAGUGAAGAUAAUAUUAUGCAUGUUUGAUCUUUAUCUGUCCAGGUCUUCUUUCCAUUUGUUUGUUUAGCCUGUUGGAAGACAGUUUUCUAUGGGAUGUCUGGCAUUUCUGUACAUUUUACAAGCAGAGACAUGGACCAUCUUUGUUCCAAACUGCCUUUUCAAAGGUGUGUGUAUAGCUGACAGCCUUAGAAUAUGGAAGCAGUGUCUCCAUCCAGAGCAAAGCCAGGUUGUUUACUGUCCAGCACAGUAAAGAUAAAGUCUCCCUCCUGGGGUGACUGGCCUUUGUAAAAGCCCUGGGUUUCCCAGCUCAGGGUCCCUCUCCUACCGUGCAGCCCACUGUGUGUGCAGAUAUCAAAGCCUCUCAGCAUUAUCUUGCGGAAACUUGGAUUCAAGGAAACUGGCACAAGUGUUAAUCCUCUGGCUGUGGCUAGUGCUGUGAGUGACCAAGUCACUGGCCUCUGGUCCUGACAUCUCAUUUUAUGCCAGCAUCCAGGAGACUGGUGACUAAUUAGCUUAUAGAAGGCCCCUCAUAGUUCUUGAUAUAAUGUUCUGUUAAAUAAUUUAUUUUUCCCAUCAUCUUGUUUCCUUAUGGUGAAAUAAAUUUUCUUUUGCAAUUUUUUUUUAAAUUGAAGUACAGUUUAUUGACAAUAUCGUGUUAGUUGCAGGUGUACAGCACUGUGAUUCAGAUACAUAGGUAUAGAUAUAUUCAGAUUAUUUUCCAUUAUAGGUUAUUACAAGAUAUGGAACAUUAUUCUCUGUGGUAUACAGUAAAUUUUUGUUGGUUACCAAUGUUAUAUAUGGUGGCUUGUAUCUGUUAAUCUCAAACUCUGAAUUUACCCUUCUCCCUCACUUUUCCUUUUGGUAGCCAUAAGUGUGUUUUCUAUGUCUGUGGAUCUAUUUCUGUUUUGUAUAUAGAUUCAUUUGCAUUAUUUUUUAGACUCCACAUAUAAGUGAUAUCAUAUGAUAUUUAUCUUUCACUGACUGCCUUAUUAUUUCACUUCAUAUGGUGAUCUCUAGGUCCAUCCAUGUUACUACAAAUGGCAUUAUUUCAUUCUUUCAUAAGGCUGAGUAAUAUUCCAUUGUGUAUAUGUACCACAUCUUCUUUAUCCAUUCUUCUGUCAAUAGACAUUUACAUUGCUUCCAUGUCUUGGCUCUUGUUUAUAGUGCUGCUUUGAAAAAUUGGGGUGCAUGUAUCUUUUCAUAUUAGAAUUUUCAUCUUUUCCAGAUAUAUACUUGGAGUGGGAUUGCUGCAUCAUACUGUAGCUCUAUUUUCAGUUUUUUAAGGACUCUCCAUACUGUUUUAUAUAGUAAACAAUUUACAUUCCUACCCACAGUGAAGGAGGGUUCCCUUUUCUCCACACCCUGUCCAGCAUUUAUUGUUUGUGGAAUUUUUGACAUUGGCCAUUCUGACCAAUGUGAGAUGGCAGGCACCUCAUUGUGGCUCUGAUUUGCAUUUAUCUAAUAAUUAGCUAUGUGGAGCAUCUUUUCAUGUGCCUUUCGGCCAUCCGUAUGUCUUCUUUGGAGAAAUCCAUUUUUUAAUUGGAUUUUUUUUUUUUAACUGUUGAGUUCUAUGAGCAGUUCGUAUAUUUUGGAAAUUAACUUCUUAUUGAUCACAUCAUUUGCAAAUAUUUUCUCCCACUCUGUAGGUUGUCUUUUUAUUUUGUUGAUGAUUUCCUUUGCCAUACAAAAGCUUUUAAGUUUGAUUAUGUCCCAUUUGUUUAUUUUUGCUUUUAAUUUUCUUUUUUGACUUCAGAGACUGAUCUAAGAAAAUAUUGCUGUGAUUUAUGUCUGAAAAUGUUUUGUCUAUAUUCUCUCUAGGAUUUUUAUGAUGUCAUACCUUAUAUUUAAGUCUUUAAGCCAUGUUGAGUUUAUUUUUUGCUCAUGGUGUGAGGGUGUGUUCUAGUUUCAUAGGAAGAAGGAAGGAAGGAAGGAAGGAAGGAAGGAAGGAAGGAAAGAAAGAAAGAAAAAGAAAGAAAGAAAGGGAAAGACAGAAAGAAAGAAAAAGGGAGAAGGAGUUCCUGUUGUGGUGCAGUGGAAACAAAUCUGACUAGGAACCAUGAGGUUGUGGGUUCGAUCCUUGGCCUCACCCAGUGGGUUAAGGAUCUGGCAUUGCCAGAAGCUGUGCUGUAGCUUGAAGAUGCUUCUCGGAUCCUGCAUUGCUGUGGCUGUGGUGUAGGCCGGCAGCUGUAGCUCCAAUUUGACCCCUAGCCUGGGAAACUCCAUAUGCC
rnacentral:lncRNA from 1 species